AGCACGGUGCUUGGCACAUAGCAAGCACUUAAUAAAUGCUUGCUGACUGACUGAUGUGGGACUCAGGGCAUUCAGAUGAUGGU
rnacentral:miRNA from 1 species